UACCCCAAUUGGUCAUAGAACACAUCAUAUCUUACUAUAUAGCAUUGUGGUUUGAGUCUUCAUUGCCACAAUGUCUACCUCUUCCAUAAACGGCUUUAGUCUUUCUUCUUUGUCACAUGCCAAAACUUCUAUCAAGAAAACUACAUUGAGACCCUUUGCAUCACUUAACUCUUCUUCUUCCUCUUCAUCUUCUAAUUUCCCUUCUCUUAUUCAAGACAAACCUGUUUUUGCUUCCUCUUCUCCUUUCAUCACUCCAAUUUUGAGAGAAGAAAUGGGAAAGGGUUAUGAAGAAGCAAUUCAAGAACUCGAGAAAUUGUUGAGGGAGAAGGCCGACUUGAAAGCCACGGCAGCUGAAAAGGUUGAACAAAUAACAGCUCAACUUGGAUCAGUUACAGCUCAAGCUGCAUCAUCAUCUGAUGGUAUUCCAACAUCUGAAGCCUCAGAGAGGAUCAAAACUGGUUUCAUUCACUUCAAGAAAGAGAAAUAUGACAAGAAUCCAGCUUUGUAUGGUGAACUUGCCAAAGGCCAAAGCCCCCCGUAUAUGGUGUUUGCAUGCUCAGACUCAAGAGUCUGCCCAUCUCAUGUGCUAGAUUUCCAGCCAGGAGAAGCUUUUGUGGUCAGAAAUGUUGCUAACUUGGUUCCACCAUAUGACCAGGCAAAAUAUGCUGGAACUGGAGCUGCUAUUGAGUAUGCAGUUCUGCAUCUCAAGGUUUCCAACAUUGUGGUCAUUGGACACAGUGCUUGUGGUGGUAUUAAGGGGCUUUUGUCUUUUCCAUUUGAUGGACCCUACUCCACUGAUUUCAUUGAGGAGUGGGUCAAAAUUGGUUUACCUGCAAAGGCAAAGGUGAAAUCAAAGCAUGGAGAUGCACCUUUUGGAGAGCUAUGCACACAUUGUGAGAAGGAAGCUGUGAAUGCUUCACUUGGAAACCUUCUAACCUAUCCAUUUGUGAGAGAGGGUUUGGUGAACGGAACAUUGGCACUAAAAGGAGGAUACUAUGACUUUGUGAAGGGAUCUUUUGAGCUUUGGGGACUUGAAUUUGGUCUUUCAUCCACUUUCUCCGUAUGAACAUCAACCAUAUAUCAAUGACCACAUCUUGAUUACCUAAGUAUUCUUCUCUCUAAAAUGUAAAAGAUGUGGCCGCGAUUCUACAUUGGAAGCUAUAAUCUCAUGCUUAGAGGUCAUGUGUCUGCAAUGAAGAGGCCUACCUAUUUUCAACAUAUGAUAUUUUAUAUAUAUGAGAAAAAACUAUGAACUUGUAUUAAUUAAUUAUGUACUAUAUAUUAUAUCUUAAAUAAGAGUUUGGAAUUUCAUCUUGAGGCAUAA